UUUAGUUGUGAAAUGCGAUUGUUCCUAAGUAUUGACUUAAGAAGUUCCUAACGAUAAGAAUUACUUAAUAAGGCAACUGUUUAGGUAUCGUUGGUGAAAUCGGGCAUAAAUGUCCAGCAAACGACGGCAAUGUUGCCAGAUUCCUUUUAGCGGGAAUUUUAAAAUUUUAUAGCAGUUUGGUUUUAAAUUUGACAGUUCUGUUUUCUCAAGUCAAAAAUCUUAACCUUACUUUUACAAGUGAUUAAGAUUAUUUUAUUUACAUGUAAAUUGAAACAAUAAAUAUUGUGCUUUGUCAUAAUUUAAAACUCAUUAUGUUGAAGUCUUUUCCAGUUGAUAAAAUUGCAAUUCAAAAACUUUUAGGUAGAUUUGUACUGUAUGGAUGGCACAGGAAGAGAACAGAGAACAAGAGUACAAGAACAUGAAACAUCUUAUUAUGAAUGUAUAUGUAUGUGAUCCUCAAAAAAUUAUUUUUCAAAACAAGAUAGAGAAUGAGCUUUAAAAUCCCAAGGAUCCUGCAAAAUGUCUAUUUGGUGUACUAGUCGAAUAAUAGUAUCUAAAAAUAAUGAAACUGUUUUAAAACACAUUAUGGGCAUGAGGAUGAUAUAGAGCACUUACAUAAAUACCAAAAUCAGAUAAAUAUCUCUUCAAAGUUUAUUUUGAGACUUUCUUCAAAAAUUAAACUUCAGACUGUCCAGGAUAGCAUAAUAGCAUAGGAGGCAAAUUAAAAAGAAUUAAUUUACUUACAAGAAGAGAUAUCACAAACAUUAAACUCUCUUAUGGCAUUGAUUUGAAAGAUGGGUAUAUGUACAAUGAUGAUGCAACCAGUGUUUAUUUUUGGGUUGAAUGCUUACAGAUUAUUUAUUUUUUCCAAUAUUAUUUUACAAACAACAGGGCAUACUAAUGGAUAUUCAUUCUGAAUUUAACAUUUAUGAUUUUUGUCUUAUUUUCCUUAAUACUGUGCCAAAAGGAAAUGUUAAUUAAGUUUGGCAAAUCCUUUAUCGCAAUCGAUGGAACUCAUGGGCUCAAUUCCUAUGACUUUGAACUUAUGACAGUAUUAGUAAAAGAUGAAUUUGGGAAUGGA